rnacentral:lncRNA from 1 species
GAUAGUCCUACAAGGCCCCCUUCUUUCAGAAUCUUAGCCAUUGUCCCCUUCAUCACUCUGUAUCCUCUACUUCUGAGGAAGUCUCUCGAGCUGUGAAUUGGUGCUUGUGAGACUUCAGAGUCCCCCACACUGCUCUAGUGCAUUGAGUGGAUGGAGGGGCCAACUCGGCUGGAGCGAACGGGUGUUACACAAUAGGGUAAAUGGGCAGAGGGUGAAGAAGAAGAAGAUGGCAUAAGCAACAAAUUAUGUUUAGGAACAUUAAAUUAGACACUUGACGUAUAAAGAGAAUGUUUUAAAUGAAAAAAAAAAAAAAAGAAGAAGAAGAAGAAGAUAAAAAGGGGCAAUUUUCUAGUCAUACGAUCGGUCUAUCUUAAAGAAUUUGUCAAUGUUAUACUAUUCUUAGAAGUUGCAAAUAAUGAAGGGCAUGAUUAAUUUAAAUUAGAUGGAUAUUAAUAUUAGUUAAAUAAAUUUUAAUGUUAAUUACUUUGUUAUGUUCUUAUCUCCAGAAUAAUUCCCAGGACACUCAUGCCUAGAGAGGUAUCUUUCUUUCUUUUUUUUUUUUUCUUUUUUUUUUAAUAUUUAAAAUUGUCUUUUUUCUUUUUUUUUGGAAGCCCCUAUUACACAACUUACAAAUUGAAUUUCUGCUGUAUAUUCCUUAUCUUGGACAUGCAUCUCUCAUUCUCCCAACACUGCAUCUAAUUGAAUUUGUCUUUUGUCUUGUUAGACAAAUCCAGUUGAACUAUUUCGUUUAAAAUACUUAAAAAUUUUAAAUACUCUAAGGCAGAUAAAUUUAAUUUUUUAAUUUCUUUUAAUUUAUCUUUUUACACACAGGCUCAAUUUAUUUCUUUGAUCAAAGACUUGACACGUGUAUAUUUUUAUUAAACAACUCAAACCUUGAUAUGAUAUCAAGUUGAUGCAACUCAUCUGAAAAAUAAAGUAUUCAUCACUUAAAUUACAUUUUUUUGUUGAAACUAAACAUAAAUAAUAAAUGCUCCCCUGCCAAAUAACUUUAAUUUAUUGAGAUGGUCUUAAUUUAUAUCGCGGUAAGAAAAAGACCAUAGUCCAUAUGAAAAUUUUAAUUUCUACUUACAAAACAGUUAUUUAGUUCAUGUUUGGUAGAAAUUAAAAUUCAGAAUUUUAUAUAAGCCAAAGUCCACAAUUAAUUUUAUCCACACGUAUUGUGAGAACCAUAACUUUUGAACCAUACAUUUCAUACACUUUUAUCAAAAUUUUCUAAACAUUUAAUUUUAAUCCUCCCCAAACAAAGGUUUAUUGUUUAUUUGGAAAAUAAUGAAAAGUUGAAGUCAAAGUCAAUAAUUAUUUUAAUUACAUAUUUUCAGAUUUGGUACUUUAUCAAUUUUUGAAUCAUAUAUUUUCAUUAAUUUUUAUUAAAAUCUAUUAAAUUUUUCAUCAAAAGCUUGUUGGUGACAGUGUUGAAUUAGAAUUGACUUGAUGGUGAAUGUAUGGCGGGUGUGGUGGAUUGGGGGAGUUAGAUUACAGGUGAAACAGUAGGAGAGGUGAAGGCAGUUGCAGAUAUGCACCAAAGGAAAGCAGAGAUGGCCAGACAUUCUGAUGCAUUUAUUGCAUUACCUGGUUUGUACUAUUUUUAAAAAGAAAUUUAUAAAAUACAUCAUAUACAUGAGUCAUAGUUAGGCUAUUUUUGAAAAGUUAAAAGUUAUUUUGAAUUUUAAUAAACUAUUUUCAAAUAUGUUUGAAUCAUUUCUUGGAAAUGCUUUAUCUUAACAGAAGAGUUUUUAGAAAAAACUUGAACUAAGAUAACUUUCUUGAACUCUUUUAUAAAUAUUAGAAGCAAAAAUGACAAUCAUGCAAGUUUUAAGUAGAAGCUAUUCUGUAAAAACAAAAGCACUGCCAAAUAGGCUCUUACACUUUAACUUAGUAUUUAAUGAAACAAUAAAGCUAUAGGUACAAGGACCUGCCAGGUGAGAGAGGAGGUGGGGGCGGACCCCACCUUUUUUUUUUCAUAAUGCGUGUGGAGCCUGACCCCCACGGUGAGGGGCCUGUGAACUGAGCUCCUGUACGUGGAGCUCGGUCCUGAAUGAAAUUGCAUAUUACAUAUUAAUUUUUUUACUGAAUACCAUACUUGAAAAUAACAAAUCGCACUUUCUAUAUUAUUUUUUAUAACACUUCACGUUAUGAACCGUAAAUUUAAGGUGGUUAUGGCACUCUUGAGGAGCUCCUUGAAGUAAUAGCGUGGGCUCAACUCGGGAUCCAUGACAAACCGGUAAUUUCAUUUUUCUUUUCAUAUAUUAUUUUUAAAAUUCUAAUUGUUUAUUCUGAAUUUUGAAAAGAAAUAUAAUAAAUUAUAAUCUUGUGUAUGCAGGUAGGGUUGUUGAAUGUGGAUGGUUAUUAUGAGUCACUGUUAUCUUUUAUUGACAAAGCAGUAGAAGAAGGUUUCAUUAGUUCAACUGCACGUCAUAUUGUUGUAUCAGCGCCUACAGUCAAGGAACUUGUGAAGAAAAUGGAGGCAUAAGUUUCGAGAUCACUUGUUUAACAAUAAAUAAUAUGUAAUAGUUGAAAAUCCUGUCGAGAUUUUCCUUACUUUACAAGGUAAACUCGAUAAUUUAUUUUGUUUGAAUCAACUUUGAAUGUUAUUGAACUAGUUUAUGAGUAUUCAAUUAAGCCAAAAUGAAAGCAUAGAAUUGUCAAAAAAAGAAACGUCUCCUCUAAAUAAAUUAUUCAAAAAAUCUUUGAAGUUGUAACUCAAAUUCUAUGUGAUUUGGAAGUAUGAUUCAUGGAGGAAGCCUAAAUAAUUUUGGUUUGGAAUUUCGGAUAGAUAAGGAAUCAAAUUUCGUCAUGGAUCAAAAGUUUGAUUGAGAAAAUGACUAGAUUGAUGAAGUAGUUUUUUGAAAACACAAGGAUAGAGUCGGGGGUGCCGAAAUCACAAAGUAGGAACAGUGGCUGGAUGCCAGCCCCAGGCCAUCAAAGUGCCCAACAAGAACUAAGUGAAUA